rnacentral:rRNA from 1 species
AUGAUACGCGAAGAACCUUACCAGGUCUUGACAUCCCCCGCAAUGCUAUGGAGACAUAGCGGAGGUAUUCGGGGAGACAGGUGGUGCAUGGUUGUCGUCAGCUCGUGUCGUGAGAUGUUGGGUUAAGUCCCGCAACGAGCGCAACCCUUAUUGCUAGUUACCAUCAUUGAGUUGGGGACUCUAGCGAGACUGCCAGUGAUAAACUGGAGGAAGGUGGGGAUGACGUCAAAUCAUCAUGCCCCUUAUGACCUGGGCUACAAACGUGAUACAAUGGCUGAAACAGAGGGAGGCGAAGGGGUGACCUGGAGCGAAACCCAGAAAAACAGUCUCAGUUCGGAUUGAAGUCUGCAACUCGACUUCAUGAAGUCGGAAUCGCUAGUAAUCGCGGAUCAGAACGCCGCGGUGAAUACGUUCUCGGGGUUU